rnacentral:rRNA from 1 species
UGUGAAGUUACUUAAACAACCAGGAGGUUGGCUUAGAAGCAGCCAUCCUUUAAAGAAAGCGUAAUAGCUCACUGGUCUAGUGAUUUUGCGCGGAAAAUAUAACGGGGCUAAAGUAAGUACCGAAGCUGUAGACUUGCGCACAACUUAGAUUAUUUAAGUUUAGAAUAUGAGAAACUAAGUUAUGUUUAGUUAUAUUUUUACUGAUUUUUAUAGAGUAAAGAUAGAAAUAAAACUUAGUAAAAUCAGUAAAAAUAUUCUUAGGCUAAAGUUAAGUAGUUUAAGUUGUGUGCAAGUGGUAGGAGAGCGUUCUAUUUGCGUCGAAGGUAUACCGGUAAGGAGUGCUGGAGCGAAUAGAAGUGAGCAUGCAGGCAUGAGUAGCGAUAAUUAAUGUGAGAAUCAUUAACGCCGUAAACCCAAGGUUUCCUACGCGAUGCUCGUCAUCGUAGGGUUAGUCGGGUCCUAAGUCGAGUCCGAAAGGGGUAGACGAUGGCAAAUUGGUUAAUAUUCCAAUACCAACAUUAGUGUGCGAUGGAAGGACGCUUAGGGCUAAGGGGGCUAGCGGAUGGAAGUGCUAGUCUAAGGUCGUAGGAGGUUAUACAGGCAAAUCCGUAUAACAAUACUCCGAGAACUGAAAGGCUUUUUGAAGUCUUCGGAUGGAUAGAAGAACCCCUGAUGCCGUCGAGCCAAGAAAAGUUUCUAAGUUUAGCUAAUGUUGCCCGUACCGUAAACCGACACAGGUGGGUGGGAUGAGUAUUCUAAGGCGCGUGGAAGAACUCUCUUUAAGGAACUCUGCAAAAUAGCACCGUAUCUUCGGUAUAAGGUGUGGUUAGCUUUGUAUUAGGAUUUACUCCGAAAGCAAGGAAACUUACAACAAAGAGUCCCUCCCGACUGUUUACCAAAAACACAGCACUCUGCUAACUCGUAAGAGGAUGUAUAGGGUGUGACGCCUGCCCGGUGCUCGAAGGUUAAUUGAUGGGGUUAGCAUUAGCGAAGCUCUUGAUCGAAGCCCGAGUAAACGGCGGCCGUAACUAUAACGGUCCUAAGGUAGCGAAAUUCCUUGUCGGUUAAAUACCGACCUGCAUGAAUGGCGUAACGAGAUGGGAGCUGUCUCAAAGAGGGAUCCAGUGAAAUUGUAGUGGAGGUGAAAAUUCCUCCUACCCGCGGCAAGACGGAAAGACCCCGUGGACCUUUACUACAGCUUGACACUGCUACUUGGAUAAGAAUGUGCAGGAUAGGUGGGAGGCUUUGAGUAUAUGACGCCAGUUGUAUAUGAGCCAUUGUUGAGAUACCACUCUUUCUUAUUUGGGUAGCUAACCAGCUUGAGUUAUCCUCAAGUGGGACAAUGUCUGGUGGGUAGUUUGACUGGGGCGGUCGCCUCCCAAAUAAUAACGGAGGCUUACAAAGGUUGGCUCAGAACGGUUGGAAAUCGUUCGUAGAGUAUAAAGGUAUAAGCCAGCUUAACUGCAAGACAUACAAGUCAAGCAGAGACGAAAGUCGGUCUUAGUGAUCCGGUGGUUCUGUGUGGAAGGGCCAUCGCUCAAAGGAUAAAAGGUACCCCGGGGAUAACAGGCUGAUCUCCCCCAAGAGCUCACAUCGACGGGGAGGUUUGGCACCUCGAUGUCGGCUCAUCGCAUCCUGGGGCUGGAGCAGGUCCCAAGGGUAUGGCUGUUCGCCAUUUAAAGCGGUACGCGAGCUGGGUUCAGAACGUCGUGAGACAGUUCGGUCCCUAUCUGCCGUGGGCGUAAGAAGAUUGAAGAGAUUUGACCCUAGUACGAGAGGACCGGGUUGAACAAACCACUGGUGUAGCUGUUGUUCUGCCAAGAGCAUCGCAGCGUAGCUAAGUUUGGAAAGGAUAAACGCUGAAAGCAUCUAAGCGUGAAGCCAACUCUAAGAUGAAUCUUCUCUAAGCUCUCUAGAAGACUACUAGUUUGAUAGGCUGGGUGUGUAAUGGAUGAAAGUCCUUUAGCUGACCAGUACUAAUAGAGCGUUUGGCUUAUCUUUAAUAAAGCAU